rnacentral:rRNA from 1 species
GAUGAACGCUGGCGGCGUGCCUAAUACAUGCAAGUCGAGCGAACGGACGAGAAGCUUGCCUCUCUGAUGUUAGCGGCGGACGGGUGAGUAACACGUGGAUAACCUACCUAUAAGACUGGGAUAACUUCGGGAAACCGGAGCUAAUACCGGAUAAUAUUUUGAACCGCAUGGUUCAAAAGUGAAAGACGGUCUUGCUGUCACUUAUAGAUGGAUCCGCGCUGCAUUAGCUAGUUGGUAAGGUAACGGCUUACCAAGGCAACGAUGCAUAGCCGACCUGAGAGGGUGAUCGGCCACACUGGAACUGAGACACGGUCCAGACUCCUACGGGAGGCAGCAGUAGGGAAUCUUCCGCAAAGGGCGAAAGCCUGACGGAGCAACGCCGCGUGAGUGAUGAAGGUCUUCGGAUAGUAAAACUCUGUUAUUAGGGAAGAACAUAUGUGUAAGUAACUGUGCACAUCUUGACGGUACCUAAUCAGAAAGCCACGGCUAACUACGUG